rnacentral:rRNA from 1 species
UUCUGGUUGCCCAACAGCCGCGGUAAUUCCAGCUCCAAUAGCGUAUAUUAAAGUUGUUGCAGUUAAAAAGCUCGUAGUUGAACUUUGGGUCUGGCUGGCCGGUCCGCCUCACCGCGAGUACUGGUCCGGCUGGACCUUUCCUUCUGGGGAACCUCAUGGCCUUCACUGGCUGUGGGGGGAACCAGGACUUUUACUGUGAAAAAAUUAGAGUGUUCAAAGCAGGCCUUUGCUCGAAUACAUUAGCAUGGAAUAAUAGAAUAGGACGUGCGGUUCUAUUUUGUUGGUUUCUAGGACCGCCGUAAUGAUUAAUAGGGAUAGUCGGGGGCGUCAGUAUUCAGCUGUCAGAGGUGAAAUUCUUGGAUUUGCUGAAGACUAACUACUGCGAAAGCAUUCGCCAAGGAUGUUUUCAUUAAUCAGGGAACGAAAGUUAGGGGAUCGAAGACGAUCAGAUACCGUCGUAGUCUUAACCAUAAACUAUGCCGACUAGGGAUCGGGCGGUGUUUCUAUGAUGACCCGCUCGGCACCUUACGAGAAAUCAAAGUUUUUGGGUUCUGGGGGGAGUAUGGUCGCAAGGCUGAAACUUAAAGAAAUUGACGGAAGGGCACCACAAGGCGUGGAGCCUGCGGCUUAAUUUGACUCAACACGGGGAAACUCACCAGGUCCAGACAAAAUAAGGAUUGACAGAUUGAGAGCUCUUUCUUGAUCUUUUGGAUGGUGGUGCAUGGCCGUUCUUAGUUGGUGGAGUGAUUUGUCUGCUUAAUUGCGAUAACGAACGAGACCUCGGCCCUUAAAUAGCCCGGUCCGCGUUUGCGGGCCGCUGGCUUCUUAGGGGGACUAUCGGCUCAAGCCGAUGGAAGUGCGCGGCAAUAACAGGUCAGUAUGUGCCCUAUAGAA